GACGAACGCUGGCGGCGUGCUUAACACAUGCAAGUCGAACGGAAAGGCCCCUUUGGGGGUACUCGAGUGGCGAACGGGUGAGUAACACGUGAGUAACCUGCCCUUGACUUCGGGAUAACUUCAGGAAACUGGGGCUAAUACCGGAUAGGAAUCCUUGCUGCAUGGUGGGGGUUGGAAAGCUUCGGCGGUUUUGGAUGGACUCGCGGCUUAUCAGCUUGUUGGUGGGGUAGUGGCUUACCAAGGCUUUGACGGGUAGCCGGCCUGAGAGGGCGACCGGCCACAUUGGGACUGAGAGACGGCCCAGACUCCGACGGGAGGCAGCAGGGGGGAAGAUUGCACAAUGGGCGGAAGCCGGAUGCAGCAACGCCGCGUGCGGGAUGACGGCCUUCGGGUUGGAAACCGCUUUCAGCAGGGGCGAAGCUUGUGGUGACGGUACCUGCAGAAGAAGCACCGGCUAACUACGUG
rnacentral:rRNA from 1 species